UUGAGUCGGUUCAGAUUUUUUUGGGCCUUUGAAACAUUUACUUCAUGCGUUGGUUCAAAUUCUUUGGUACAAGCGAUAAUUUCUGUUGAAUACAGAUGAAACGCGAAGAAUAAUCGAUUGGUUUCACUACCAAUAUUGGUUUCUCAAUAAAAUAUGUUAAAUUCCAUCUAUGAACAAUACAACUUAUCAGCCAAAUCCAUUUCCAAUGUCAUCAAUGCUUUCUCUUUAUCUCAGUCCCGAUUCAUCUCAUCAUCAAUGUCAUCUAUUCGAUUUUCCAGCUGAAUCAGGAAGGUCACACGAUUAGAAGCAAAGUUUGUCAAUGCAAUCAAGUGGAAAUGGAAAAUUCACAUAGUUUCUUCCAAACUCAUCUUUGAAAUUAUCAUUGUCAAAAUGCUUUUAAGGAACUAAAAAAUUCACCACUCCAUAUCGUUAACAAGCUUGGAGAAGAGCCAAAGAAGGAAGACAUUAGACAGAUCAACUCAAGUUUAGAAACCUUUAAAGUUCUGGAACAACAUAGAUGGUGUUAAUCCUCUUUGGUCCUCCAUCAAGAUAUAAAGUUAUAGCCACAAGAUAAAUGUUUAGAAAGUUAUUAUGUAUUUAAUUGUAUAGGUUUGAUUGAAUUUUUAACAAUUGAAAGAAAUGUGUUAGAUAUUUAUUUAAUAUUAUUAUAGGUUUAUUU